CUUCCUGGCAAUGGGCAAAGAAAUACCUUAUUGGUGGUGGUGGUGGUCUUAUAUCAGACAAGGGCAGAGCAGAAAGCAGUCCCUUGUUCAGCCUAGCUUGUUGCCUAUUUUGGGAGCCAAAGCUGUUUUAUGCCUAGGACUCAUAA